rnacentral:piRNA from 1 species
AUGAGUAAAGGCCGCCUUCCUUGGG